rnacentral:rRNA from 1 species
UGGAUGAUGUGGAUUAAUUCGAUGCAACGCGAAGAACCUUACCUACCCUUGACAUGUCCGGAACUUGCCAGAGAUGGCUUGGUGCCCGAAAGGGAAUCGGAACACAGGUGCUGCAUGGCUGUCGUCAGCUCGUGUCGUGAGAUGUUGGGUUAAGUCCCGCAACGAGCGCAACCCUUAUCAUUAGUUGCUACGCAAGGGCACUCCAAUGAGACUGCCGGUGACAAACCGGAGGAAGGUGGGAUGACGUCAAGUCCUCAUGGCCCUUAUGGGUAGGGCUUCACACGUCAUACAAUGGUCGGCACAGAGGGUUGCCAAGCCGCGAGGCGGAGCCAAUCCCACAAAGCCGAUCGUAGUCCGGAUUGUUCUCUGCAACUCGAGAGCAUGAAGUCGGAAUCGCUAGUAAUCGCAGGUCAGCAUACUGCGGUGAAUACGUUCCCGGGUCUU